UACGUAGGCAGCAAGCGUUGUUCGGAGUUACUGGGCGUAAAGGGUGUGUAGGUGGCCUGUUAAGUUCCGUGUGAAAUCUCCCGGCUCAACCGGGAGGGUGCGCGGAAAACUGGCGGGCUAGAGUACGGGAUGGGAGAGUAGAAUUCCUGGUGUAGCGGUGAAAUGCGUAGAUAUCAGGAGGAAUACCGGUGGUGUAGACGGCUCUCUGGACCGUAACUGACACUGGAGACA
rnacentral:rRNA from 1 species